rnacentral:rRNA from 1 species
GAUGAACGCUAGCUACAGGCUUAACACAUGCAAGUCGAGGGGUAACGAGAGGAAAGCUUGCUUUCCUUGUCGACGACCGGCGCACGGGUGAGUAAUGCGUAUCCAACCUGCCCCCAACUAAGGAAUAACCUUGCGAAAGUAAGACUAAUACCUUAUAAUUUCCUCAGAUGUCAUCUGACGAGGAAUAAAGAUUUAUCGGUUGUGGAUGGGGAUGCGUCUGAUUAGCUUGUUGGAGGGGUAACGGCCCACCAAUGCAACGAUCAGUAGGGGUUCAGAUAGGAAGGUCCCCCACAUUGGAACUAAGACACGGUCCAAACUCCUACGGGAGGCAGCAGUGAGGAAUAUUGGUCAAUGGGCGGAAGCCUGAACCAGCCAAGUAGCGUGCAGGAUGACGGCCCUAUGGGUUGUAAACUGCUUUUAUACAGGAAUAAAGUUAGCCACGUGUGGUUAUUUGUAGGUACUGUAUGAAUAAGGACCGGCUAAUUCCGUGCCAGCCGCCGCCGUAA